UACGGAGGAUGCGAGCGUUAUCCGGAUUUAUUGGGUUUAAAGGGUGCGUAGGCGGAUUUUUAAGUCAGCGGUAAAAUGUCCGGGCUCAACCCGGGCCGGCCGUUGAAACUGGGGAUCUUGAGCGGGCGAGAAGUAUGCGGAAUGCGUGGUGUAGCGGUGAAAUGCAUAGAUAUCACGCAGAACUCCGAUUGCGAAGGCAGCAUACCGGCGCCCGACUGACGCUGAGGCACGAAAGCGUGGGGAUCGAACAGG
rnacentral:rRNA from 1 species